rnacentral:rRNA from 1 species
CCUACGGGCGGCAGCAGUGAGGAAUAUUGGUCAAUGGACGCAAGUCUGAACCAGCCAAGUAGCGUGAAGGAUGACUGCCCUAUGGGUUGUAAACUUCUUUUAUAUGGGAAUAAAAUGUUCCACGUGUGGGUUUUUGUAUGUACCAUAUGAAUAAGGAUCGGCUACUCCGUGCCAGCAGCCCCGGUAAUACGGAGGGUCCGGGCGUUAUCCGGAUUUUUUGGGGUUAAAGGGAGCGUAGGUGGAUUGUUAAGUCGGUUGUGAAAGGUUGCGGCUCAACCGUGAAAUGGCAGUUGAAACUGGGAGGCUUGAGUACAGUAGAGGUAGGCGGAAUUCGUGGUGUAGCGGUGAAAUGCUUAGAUAUCACGAAGAACUCCGAUUGCGAAGGCAGUUCACUGGAGUGUAACUGACACUGAGGCUCGAAAGUGUGGGUAUCAAACAGGAUUAGAUACCCCGGUAGUC